GACGAACGCUGGCGGCGUGCUUAACACAUGCAAGUCGAACGAUGAAGCUAGAGCUUGCUCUGGUGAAUUAGUGGCGAACGGGUGAGUAACACGUGAGUAACCUGCCCCGAACUCUGGGAUAACUGCUGGAAACGGUAGCUAAUACUGGAUACGACCUACGAAGGCAUCUUCUGUAGGUGGAAAGAAUUUCGGUUCGGGAUGGACUCGCGGACUAUCAGCGUGUUGGUGAGGUAAUGGCUCACCAAGGCGACGACGGGUAGCCGGCCUGGGAGGGUGACCGGCCACACUGGGACUUAGACACGGCCCAGACUCCUACGGGAGGCAGCAGUGGGGAAUAUUGCACAAUGGGCGAAAGCCUGAUGCAGCAACGCCGCGUGAGGGAUGACGGCCUUCGGGUUGUAAACCUCUUAUAGUAGGGAAGAAGCGAAAGUGACGGUACCUGCAGAAAAAGCACCGGCUAACUACGUGCCAGCAGCCGCGGUAA
rnacentral:rRNA from 1 species